rnacentral:rRNA from 1 species
GACGAACGCUGGCGGCGUGCUUAACACAUGCAAGUCGAACGGAAAGGCCCUGCUGUUGUGGGGUGCUCGAGUGGCGAACGAGUGAGUAACGAGUGAGUAACCUGCCCUUGACUUUGGGAUAACGUCAGGAAACUGGGGCUAAUACCGGAUAGGCGCGCCUGCUGCAGGGUGGGGGUUGGAAAGUUUCGGCGGUUGGGGAUGGACUCGCGGCUUGUCAGCUGGUUGGUGGGGUAGUGGCUUACCAAGGCUUUGACGGGUAGCCGGCCUGGGAGGGUGACCGGCCACAUUGGGACUGAGAUACGGCCCAGACUCCUACGGGAGGCAGCAGUGGGGAAUAUUGAACAAUGGGCGGAAGCCUGAUGCAGCAACGCCGCGUGCGGGAUGACGGCCUUCGGGUUGUAACCCGCUUUCGCCUGUGACGAAGCGUGAGUGACGGUAAUGGGUAAAGAAGCACCGGCUAACUACGUG